rnacentral:rRNA from 1 species
AGUGAACGCUGGCGGCGUGCCUAAUACAUGCAAGUCGAACGGCGUGGCGCACGGGUGAGUAAUAUAUAGCUAAUCUGCCCCUUGCUGGAGGACAACAGUUAGAAAUGACUGCUAAUACCCCAUAGAAAGGGAUGAGACUCUAUCGUAUCAGCUAGUCGGUGGGGUAACGGCCUACCGAGGCAAUGACGCGUAACAUGUCUGAGAGGAUGAUCAGUCACAUUGGAACUGAGACACGGUGGAAACUCCUACGGGAUGCAGCAGUAGGGAAUAUUGCGCAAUGGGGGAAACCCUGACGCCGCAACGGCGCGUGGAGGAUGACACUUUUCGGAGCGUAAACUCCUUUUGUUAGGGAAGCGGUACCUAACGAAGAAGCACCGGCUAACUCCGUGCCAGCAGCCGCGGUAAUUC